rnacentral:rRNA from 1 species
UAUGUGAUCGUCUCUCGCAUAUCAAUAAGCGGAGGAAAAGAAACUAACAAGGAUUCCCCUAGUAACGGCGAGUGAAGCGGGAAGAGCUCAAAUUUGAAAUCUUAAAGGGUUUCCCUUUACGAAUUGUAGUUUAAAGAAGUGUUUUCUGUUGAGGUUUUGGUAAAAGUUCUUUGGAAUAGGACAGUCAUAGAGGGUGAGAAUCCCGUAUUUGACCUUUACUUUCAACUUUGUGAUACACUUUCAAAGAGUCGGAUUGUUUGGGAAUGCAGUCCAAAAUGGGUGGUAAAUUUCAUCUAAAGCUAAAUAUUGGCGAGAGACCGAUAGCGAACAAGUACCGUGAGGGAAAGAUGAAAAGAACUUUGAAAAGAGAGUUAAACAGUACGUGAAAUUGUCAAAAGGGAAGCGUUUGACACCAGUGUUGUUUUUCUGAAAAUCAAUUAAAGAACUGUUUAUGCUAAGCUGUUUAGACUUUAUCAGCUAUCUGUUUAGUUUUGAGCUUUUCUUUAAUGCACUUUUCAGUUAACAAGUCAACAUCAAUUUCUUUUGCUGUAAAAAAGCUUGAGGAAGGUGGCUUGAGAUUCGUCUUAAGUGUUUAUAGCCUCUUGCCUAUGCAGUCGGAGAGAUUGAGGUCUGCAGCGUAGAUCCUUCGGGGCUAAAUGCAUUUGUGCUAAGUUAUAGCAUUUUAUAGACAACUUGUUGACUAUGAUUUGUCUUGUAGCUUACUCGCUUAUGUUAUUUUACCUACGCUUAGGAUGUUGAGCGCAUGUCUCUCUCU